GAAAUGGGGGUUGGGAGAACCUGUAUUUGCUAGUGGCUACAACAACCCAGGCUGAGCUAGACAGAAGACAAGAAUCCAUCUGUAUAUUCUGUCCAAGCACCUGGACCGUCUUCUGCUGCUUUCCACUGGAGACCUCCAAGUGCAAACGUGUCUGGAUUCUCAUCUGUUUGCGCCUCUGACCAGCAGGGGGCAUCUGCCAGAUCGCCUGGGGAGCACCUUCCGCAGAGGGAACCUUGAGGAGUGCACAAGCGACAGGCAGCUUUGCUCCAGCUCUACCUGGCUGUAGGAAGAUACUUUCCAAGAUCA